AAGAUUUUAAUUCACACGUUUAGUAUUUCAUUACAGAAUAAGAUCAAAUGAGAAAAUUGACUCAACUUUAUUGAACUUUCAAAAUCACAAGUGAAGUAGAACCAUUAGGUCCCUGUUGCCAGGGAGAGGUGAUGAGAAUACAACCGUGACACAUUAAGGCUGUGCAUGAUACCAGAACUAAAAGCAUAACCAUAAAUCAGAGAGUUCACACAGGAGAGAGGCCUUACUGCUGCCACCAGCUGCACUGUCAGGGAAGGUUAGUGGGAAAUUGGACAAAUCGAAAUGGAAUUAAGUAAAAAUCUGAACAUGCCUGCAUAAAAAUCCACCAGUUUAGACCUGAAUGAACAGGAGUAACAAGGUGGAAACGUGUAUAGAUUUUAGCCCAAGCUAACACAAUGAAUCACAGUUUCUUGAAGAUUUACACAUUUGUUGCAGACCUCCCGUUCCUCCACAAUCUAAAUGAGCUCAAUUGGAAUUGAGACCUGGGGACCUCUGGAUAUAAUUUAAGUAAUGGCCAUGUUUAAUGGAACCAGCUUAAAUGAGUGGCAUUGGGGAUGAGAACUAUAAGUGGUAAAAGUUACAACAGCAAAUUAAAAAGGAACCACUCGAUGGAAAAUCUUUUUAUCAGAUGAUUCACACUGGAGAAACCAUACAGCUGAUGUCAAUUAAGUGAAGUCCUUUCGUGUUGAAUAGAAUGUAAGGAAAAGUACGACACUGGACACCUGAUGUUUAGGGAGCAGGCAAGAAUCUGCAGUGCUAACGGUGAGGCCAUCUCCCUGCAACCUGAAGGAGAAACAGAUGAUCAGUCUAAAAGCCAAAUCCUUCUUGAUACAACAGACAAAUCUUGUAGAAACAAACUUCAAAUCACACAAAUCCCCAGGUAGCAGCUUUUGUAGCAGUCACUAGCAGAGCCUCAGAGUAGAGUUAGAAUCAGGGGCUGUUGCCAGCCCUCAUAUGAGGUGUCAGAAAAGUUAUUUAGUUGUGUCUCAUCACUGGUUCUGCUCCAUAACAUAAUACUACAGACAACUGCAGGUUUACCGGGCGGAGUAGGACUCACCAUCAACCAGUCUGGUCAUGGACAUGCAGCCUGAUGAAGUCACCACUCUGGGUGAAUCAGUCUCAGAGACUUCAUCUUCUCUUCACUGAAAUCCUCAACAAACCUGCACAGAAAACACCCAUCAAACAGUGUCAUUUCACAAAUAAGCACUUAUUAGCUGUGAUCUUUAGUGACUUAGCGAGCCUCAGAGUAGAGUCAGAAUCAGGGGCUGUUGCCAGCCCUCAUAUGAGGUGUCAGAAAAGUUAUUUAGUUGUCUCAUCACUGGUUCACCGCCAACUGUUAUUGAAGGACUGGGAGAAUAAUCCGCUAGAGAUUUACCUGAGGGCAGUGAGUGGGAGGAGUCCUGUGGUAGGCUCAGGUCACAUGAGAACCUGGCAGAAGAGAACAGAUUUAACACAGAGCACCUGGCAAAUACUGCCCAAAGAAACAUCCCAUGUGCUUUGUUGCCAAGGCAAUCGCACCAACUAGUUUCUAGUAUUAAAAAAAAAAAAAAAGUGUUUGUGACAAGUACAGGCCUUGGCAUGGCAGGCAAAUUACACAAUGCCUAAUUUCUUGAAUAAACUGCAAUUUGAACCAAUUGACAGCACACAAACCUCCCAGAAAAUAAGACAUAACAGUCCCAUUCAGAGCUUCAGAGUAGAGUUAGAAUCAGGGGCUGUUGCCAGCCCUCAUAUGAGGUGUCAGAAAAGUUAUUUAGUUUUGUCUCAUCACUAACUCUGGUCCAUGGACUGGUGGGCUCAAUUACAACAUGCUUUUAUAACCAUUUCUCACAACUCAGUUUAACCACUGACAGCCAAUUAACACUGCCACACUCACCUAGCCCAGACACCACUUGAUGUGACAUGCCCUCAACGCAGUACAAAGUUCAGUAGCAUCCUCUGGCCGACCAGUAUUCAGAAGAAAAGCCAGCUUCAUGACACCAUCAAAAUACCUGGAACAAAACACUAGUUAGACAAAAGGGCUGGUUUAAGCACAGAAGCAACAGAAUAAGAAACAAGACUACACCAAACAGGAUGCAAAAGAUUUAAACACGCCAAAUUCGCAUUCAGAGGGAGAAAACUACUUUUGAGAUUAAGGUUCUCUCUUAACAUUGGCGUUUAAACUCUGCCAUGCUUCGAUUUGGUCACCAUAUUUCGCGCAUUCAAUCAAUGAUUGGUUCAAAGGAAACAUCCAAGCCAACUAGUUAGUGUAUCUAGCGUACUAGUUAGUGUACGCCAGCGCCACGGUAGGCUAAUUUAACAGACUAUAUUAUCGUGGUAAAACCAAGGUCUUUCUCAGAGUCACAAAUAUCGUUCACUAUUAUUCAGUAGCAGAACUGGACAAAGUUAUCAUCAUUGAAAGACCAGCAAUGGUUAUAGUGGUAUUACGUGUAGUUGUAUGCAACUACUCAGUUACUAGGUCACCAAAGUAUAAACCCACGUGGUUCUGGGCCCUUACCCGGCGACAAACGAGCGCACUAACGUUAACGGAGCUCGACCAAGUUUUAAUAUUUUGUACGCUACACAUUUAACUCAAAUUACGUAUAAUUCAAUCGUUCAAUAGGGACGUUAAAAUAACUAGUGUCCUCCUGAUUAUCACACGAAGAGUAGCAUAUAAGUCAGUGAGCUAUGGUUAGACUAGCCUAUGUAAAAUAUGUACAGACUAGUACCAGCUACAGCAAUAGCUAGCCAAAAUACCUGUUAAGUAAAUAAAACAUUAACUUCACUCACCAAUAAAUGCAUGUCAUUUUAUGACGGAUGCGUGCGGUCUGGCUGCCAAAAACAACACAACGUUAUAAUGACGGCCAUAAUGCUGACGAAAUUCAAACCACACACUACAGCCGAUUCUGC
ensembl:lncRNA